AUACUUACCUGGCAGGGGAGAUACCGUGAUCACGAAGGUGGUUUUCCCAGGGCAAGGCUUAUCCAUUGCACUCCAGAUGUGCUGACCCCUGCGAUUUCUGCAAAUGUGGGAAACUUGACUGCAUAAUUUGUGGUAGUGGGGGACCGUGUUCGUGCUUUCCCCUG
ensembl:snRNA U1 U1 spliceosomal RNA